CACAAAUCUUGGCAGUGAUUUCUGCAUGCACGUUGCUUGUCCCGUAAUGUAACACAAAAGCUACAACUGAAGAGGAAAAGGGAGCAAGAAGGGGUGAUUUUCACACCAGCAGCAAUCACUUCCCAUUAAAGCCUACCACAGUGAUGUUGUUGAGGGUUGUGGGUGCAUGAGAGAAAAAGCUUGAAAAAUCAUUGUGAGAGUAACAAGGAGGAGAUAUGGUGGCAGAGGCUCUGGCAAACUGCCCUUGCAUCUUGGGUGGAAGGUUGUGGAGUUGGAUCAAAAGGCAGUUUACAACAGUGCAGGCAGAAGGCCAAAUUGCUAAGAUAUCUAAAGCAGUGUGCAACAAGGUGCAGGAGAAGAAUCCUUCACUAUUUUGGCCUUAGAACAGAACCUGAAGAGGAUGUGAAAGCUCUCUCCUUGGAGGUACCCAGAGCUUGACUGGAAAAGGUCCUCAGCAACCCAAUCAAACGUGAAGGCUUUCCAACAGAUAUUCUUGGAGAAAUCAGCCAUGCCUAGGUUUAUAAAAAUGAACAGAAACAGCAGCAGCUCAGAUUGCAACAGCCAGUGUACUUUGUUGGCAUUGUGAAAUACAGCAUAACAAAACCUACAGCUCCGUGGAAGAUACCCUGCAACACCAGCCAUUUUCUGCCUAUCGCUGUGUCAUCUGAGCCAUCCUUAGUUCAUUUGCUCAUUGAUGUUAUUUUUCUCAGUGCCUGUGAAACCAGGAAUGGCAUGCAGUAUGCUUGGAAUUUGUCCAGGUUCCUGUUGAGAUAGUAGAAUGGAAAGAAAAUAAAAAGUACACUGACCCAAUUUACCCAACUAAAUGUAUUGGGCCAUGACAAGAAAUGAAAUGAACAUGUUUAUUGUUGAAUCAUUUUUCAGGUGAAGCGGCUUAGGACAAUAUAUUAUAAAUGGAGCUGGAGAUCAGGGACUAAAGACUUCUCAUCAGGGUGUCUAUUAACUUCAAAGGGUGCUUUAUGUUCCAUGCAUCAAAUAUUUAAAAGAAGAAGACUCUUAAAAAAAAAAUAAAAAUUCUACUUAAUUUCAUUUCACUGAAAGUUUACGUCCACUUUUUUUGUACCUGUUUCAAAUCAAAAAGAACACCAGUGAGUCUAUUUUUUCCUUUCCAUACCAGCUACCUACAUAUAGGAUUUAGGGAGUGUGUGGCCCUUGCUCUCAAGCAUGAGUAGAAAUACAUCUGGCUGCAUCUGAAAGUGCUAAGAAACACAACAGCACAAGGGUUUGUUUUUCAGAUGCAGAGUGGAGGAUGCACUUAAAACCAGAUAAUCAUCUAGACUGAACAGCCUGUGCUUAACUUUGGCUCCCCCACACCUGUGCCAUUCUUUGUACUAUGCCAGGUGAUGCCCUGUUCCAGCAGUGAGUGUGCCAAGGGGUUGGGUGCUCUAUUGUUGGAUCUGUAUCCCAAGAAGGACCAAACAAACCCUGUGAUCUCUG
ensembl:lncRNA